UGCCAGUAUUCACACAAGCAGAGGUUUUGGAGGGUACCGACCGCCAUCGGGAUACGACGCUCUCUCUAGUCUCAGGUUUCUCGGCCCUACCAUCCAGAUAGCAGCUCCUCUGACAUGCCUUUGGCUCACUGCUUUUUCUAUGAAUAUAUUACUCUUAGUGCAAUCUAUUCUAACAGUCAAACAGCCCAACUCGAGCGAGACAUCUCUGCUGCUCUCGGUGAUCGAGAUGACGCUGACCACUCUAACGUUGGCCACGGGGCUGGUGAUCAUGCGGAUUGACUGCGUGCACGACCCCGACUGACCCGAGGCCAUGGCGCCGGCCGGCGGCACCGACUUCACCGCCUCCGGCACCGGCGUCAGCAUGAUCGCAGUGCCUUCCACCUCCUCCGAGAAAACCACCCCCGCCCACUCACACUCCGCCCCCUGCCCUUCGGCCGCCUCCGCCGCCUCCACCUCCGGCAGCUAGAACUCCACCUGGGUCUGAACCACCCGCCCAUCGCCUAAUCAUCACAUUGCGUCUAUUGCCCUGGAUAGACGAUCAAAUUCCCGAACCAAUUCCGAUCAAAGUAGCAUCAAAGUGUCGGGAGUCCUCAGUCUUAAACUCAUUAAUUUGCUUCAUUUUAAAAUGAAAACUUGGCAGAAAUGUUUCCUGUGGCAGGAAAUGAUGAAUGGUGGCACUCCAUUCUGAUCUUACUUUGAACAAAUAAGUGCGGCCCGUCAAGAUUUGAUGUGGAUGGUGACCAUCAGCCAUCAGCAUGUCUACUUUGAUCGGAACCGGUUCGGAAUUUGACCGUCUAUCCAGGGCUCAACUCCUUCGCUCCUUCCUCCAAGCUGAAACCUCAUCUUGGUUAGAGUACCUAUAUAGCGAGAGUAUAGACAGAUGUGAAACUCCGAAG